GUGUCGAUAAAUAUACACUAUAAAAACAAGACCUGGCUUCCUAGAUUCUGAAUCUGCCGUUAAAUUUUCUUGUUAAAAUAUUAGAGCGCCUCAAUUAUUUAUAAGUAAAAUCAUGUGUAUCAUCAAUCAAAAGUUUCCAACUAUCUAGGAGUGUCUAUCAAGUAAAUCAAAUUUUCACACUCUUUCUUGUUUUCGUUUUCUUUCCUUUUUCUUUUCUUUUUUUUUUUUUUUUUGAAAAAUACUAGGAAACACACUCGCUUCAGCCUGCACCAACCAAAAUGACUGCUCAAAGGCCAUUCAGCCCCUUUAUCACUGUGGCUCAACUUUGAUUUUCUUCCCAGUUCAUCCAUGAUUCAGACUUCUUCUGUUUCAGGAGCUUUGCCCAUGCGUUCUGCCACCUUCUGCCAGGAAUUACACCUGUCCCAUCCCGUCGUCUCCUGAAUGUCCAGAGACAGGGGUCUCCCCGUGUUGUCCAGAACGGUCUUGAACUCCUGGUCUUCAAGCAAUCUUCCUGCCUUGGUCUCUCAAAGUGCUGGGAUUACAAGUGUGAGCCACCAUACCCGGUCAUAGCGCUCUUAUAAAAUGCAUCAUCACAUUUAUUUUAUAAAUUCAGAAACAAAAGUCUGUAUAGAGAAGUUUUGAAGUUACUAGGGACCUGAAAAUCAUACUGAAGAUGUCUGCAACUAAAAACUCGAAGAGUUCCGAGGCUAGAGGGGUCAGGAGAUGAAUAAAAACGUUAGCCCCAGCUGAUCACAAUGAGGUUAAUCACAAUACUAAUUAAAAAUACUACAGAUCCUAGGACAAUGGUCAGAAGAGUGACUAUACUUUCCUGUUUGCCCUUGGAAAAUCGAGGGCUGACUUUUCUACGUGCUCAGAUAACCUAAAUUGAUAGAGAGAAAGCUAGCAGAGGAUAAGAUAAACUAGUUAACUGUAAAUAAGAUUUUGCUGUUGGAGAAUCUUCUUGUUGCUCUGGUUUUAGAUAGCGGAGGAAGCCAAAAAAUAUCUGCUUUAAGUUACCAGGAGUUGAAGUUCAUCCCUGCUGAAGUUAACAGGUUGCUUCCCUUUUUCUGGUGUAUUCUUACUUUACUGGCAAAGAGAAAAUAAAUUAAUACCUUAUUGUUAAAA
rnacentral:lncRNA from 1 species